GUGGCUUUAGUUUAUGUGGUAAAACACCUCAUUGUGGAUGAGGAAAACAGGGUUCGAACCCCGAAGUCACC
rnacentral:tRNA from 1 species